rnacentral:rRNA from 1 species
UUCCGUAGGUGAACCUGCGGAAGGAUCAUUAUUGAAUGAAUGUAGAGUUGGUUGUCGCUGGCCCUUUCGGGGGUAUGUGCACGCCUUCUCUUUCAUCCACACACACCUGUGCACUUGUGAGACGGAGGGCUUUAAUUAGUCUUCCGUCUAUUCAACCACACAAACUCAUUGUAUUUAAACUGAAUGUAAUUGAUGUAACGCAUCAUUAGAACUAAGUUUCAACAACGGAUCUCUUGGCUCUCGCAUCGAUGAAGAACGCAGCGAAAUGCGAUAAGUAAUGUGAAUUGCAGAAUUCAGUGAAUCAUCGAAUCUUUGAACGCACCUUGCGCUCCUUGGUAUUCCUUGGAGCAUGCCUGUUUGAGUAUCAUGAAAUUCUCAAAGUAAAUCUUUUGUUAAUUCAACUGGUUUUGCUUUGGACUUGGAGGUCUUUGCAGAUUUCACGUCUGCUCUUCUUAAAUGCAUUAGCUGGAUCUCAGUAUAUGCUUGGUUCCACUCGGCGUGAUAAGUAUCACUCGCUGAGGACACUGUAAAAGGUGGCCAGGAAAUACAGAUGAACCGCUUCUAAUAGUCUAUUAAGUUAGACAAUUAAUUUUAAGAUCUGAUCUCAAAUCAGGUAGGACUACCCGCUGAACUUAAGCAUAUCAAUAAGCGGAGGA